AGUGAACGCUGGCGGUAGGCCUAACACAUGCAAGUCGAACGGCAGCACAGUAAGUGCUUGCUCUUACGGGUGGCGAGUGGCGGGUGGGUGAGGAAUACAUCGGAAUCUACUUUUUCGUGGGGGAUAACGUAGGGAAACAUACGCUAAUACCGCAUACGACCUACGGGUGAAAGCAGGGGAUCUUCGGACCUUGCGCGAUUGAAUGAGCCGAUGUCGGCUUAGCUAGUUGGCGGGGUAACGGCCCAGCAAGGCGACGAACCGUAGCUGGUGUGAGAGGAGGAGAAGCCACACUGGAACGGAGACACGGUCCAGACUACUACGGGACGGAGCAGUGGGGAAUAGUAGAUAAUGGGCGCAAGGCUGAUCCAGCCAUACCGCGUCGGUGAAGAAGGCCUUGGGGUUGUAAAGCCCUUUUGUUGGGAAAGAAGAGCAGCAGGUUAAUACCGCGCUGUUCUGACGGUACCCAAAGAAUAAGCACCGGCUAACUUCGUG
rnacentral:rRNA from 1 species